UUAUAUUUUGAGGUGUUGCAGGGUGUUUUGGGUUAGUUUUGAGUGAUUUAAGUUGUUUGUGUGUGUGUCAGUUGUGUAUGGUGUGUUUUGUGGUGUGGUGUCAGUAUUGGUGCAUACUGUGUGCUUGUAGUGAAUCGUAAGUGCGUGGUACUAUGAGGUAUUUCAUGUUGGCAGUAUCCAAGGGGAUUUGACAAAGCUAGGUUCAAUGAUUUCAUUAUAACAUUAUAACAGGUUCAGCAGUGUUCCAAAUUGAUAUGGACAGUAAACUGAACAAUUGUUUUGGUAUUUUGUAAGCACGAUCGACAAUUUGGAAGUGAUCAUUUAGUGGGUAGGUUUGUGUGUAGGUGGGGUUAAUUCACAGUACAUAAGCCGCAGAACAGUAAGAUGA